GCCCACGUAGCUCAAUGGUAGAGCGCAUCACUAGUACUAAAAGUUUGUAAUGAUGAGGUUGACGGUUCGAUUCCGUUCGUGGGCA
rnacentral:tRNA from 1 species